GAUGAACGCUGGCGGCGUGCCUAAUACAUGCCAGUCGAGCGAACAGACGAGGAGCUUGCUCCUCUGACGUUAGCGGCGGACGGGUGAGUAACACGUGGAUAACCUACCUAUAAGACUGGGAUAACUUCGGGAAACCGGAGCUAAUACCGGAUAACAUGUUGAACCGCAUGGUUCAACAGUGAAAGACGGUCUUGCUGUCACUUAUAGAUGGAUCCGCGCCGCAUUAGCUAGUUGGUAAGGUAACGGCUUACCAAGGUAACGAUGCGUAGCCGACCUGAGAGGGUGAUCGGCCACACUGGAACUGAGACACGGUCCAGACUCCUACGGGAGGCAGCAGUAGGGAAUCUUCCGCAAUGGGCGAAAGCCUGACGGAGCAACGCCGCGUGAGUGAAGAAGGUCUUCGGAUCGUAAAACUCUGUUAUUAGGGAAGAACAAAUGUGUAAGUAACUAUGCACGUCUUGACGGUACCUAAUCAGAAAGCCACGGCUAACUACGUG
rnacentral:rRNA from 1 species